rnacentral:rRNA from 1 species
GACGAACGCUGGCGGCGUGCUUAACACAUGCAAGUCGAACGGAAAGGCCCUGCUUUUGUGGGGUGCUCGAGUGGCGAACGGGUGAGUAACACGUGAGUAACCUGCCCUUGACUUUGGGAUAACUUCAGGAAACUGGGGCUAAUACCGGAUAGGAGCUCCUGCUGCAUGGUGGGGGUUGGAAAGUUUCGGCGGUUGGGGAUGGACUCGCGGCUUAUCAGCUUGUUGGUGGGGUAGUGGCUUACCAAGUCUUUGACGGGUAGCCGGCCUGAGAGGGUGACCGGCCACAUUGGGACUGAGAUACGGACCAGACGCCUACGGGAGGCAGCAGUGGGGAAUAUUGCACAAUGGGCGGAAGCCUGAUGCAGCAACGCCGCGUGCGGGAUGACGGCCUUCGGGUUGUAAACCGCUUUCGCCUGUGACGAAGCGUGAGUGACGGUAAUGGGUAAAGAAGCACCGGCUAACUACGUG